GAUGAACGCUAGCUACAGGCUUAACACAUGCAAGUCGAGGGGAACGACAUCGAAAGCUUGCUUUGGUGGGCGUCGACCGGCGCACGGGUGAGUAACGCGUAUCCAACCUGCCCACCACUUGGGGAUAACCUUGCGAAAGUAAGACUAAUACCCAAUGAUAUCCCACGAAGGCAUCCGAAUGGGAUUAAAGAUUUAUCGGUGAUGGAUGGGGAUGCGUCUGAUUAGCUUGUUGGCGGGGUAACGGCCCACCAAGGCUACGAUCAGUAGGGGUUCUGAGAGGAAGGUCCCCCACAUUGGAACUGAGACACGGUCCAAACUCCUACGGGAGGCAGCAGUGAGGAAUAUUGGUCAAUGGACGAGAGUCUGAACCAGCCAAGUAGCGUGCAGGACGACGGCCCUAUGGGUUGUAAACUGCUUUUAUAAGGGAAUAAAGUGGGUCACGUGUGACUUUUUGCAUGUACCUUAUGAAUAAGGACCGGCUAAUUCCGUG
rnacentral:rRNA from 1 species